GAUAAGGUUAAGUGAAUAAGGGCGCACGGUGGAUGCCUUGGCACUAGGAGCCGAUGAAGGACGGGACUAACACCGAUAUGCUUUGGGGAGCUGUACGUAAGCUAUGAUCCAGAGAUUUCCGAAUGGGGGAACCCAGCAUCUUUAAUAGGAUGUUACGAUUGUGUGAAUACAUAGCACAUUCGAGGUAGACGCAGAGAACUGAAACAUCUAAGUACCUGCAGGAAGAGAAAGAAAAUUCGAUUCCCUGAGUAGCGGCGAGCGAAACGGGAAAAGCCCAAACCAACAAGCUUGCUUGUUGGGGUUGUAGGACUCCAAUAUGGUCGUUCUUUCAGAUAGUCGAAUGACUUGGAAAAGUCAGUCAAAGAGGGUAAAAACCCCGUAGACGAAAUGUGGAAGACACCUAGGAGGAUCCUGAGUACGGCGGAACACGAGAAAUUCCGUCG
rnacentral:rRNA from 1 species